CAGCAGCCGCGGGAAUACGGAGGGUGCAAGCGUUAAUCGGAAUUACUGGGCGUAAAGCGCACGCAGGCGGUCUGUCAAGUCGGAUGUGAAAUCCCCGGGCUCAACCUGGGAACUGCAUUCGAAACUGGCAGGCUAGAGUCUUGUAGAGGGGGGUAGAAUUCCAGGUGUAGCGGUGAAAUGCGUAGAGAUCUGGAGGAAUACCGGUGGCGAAGGCGGCCCCCUGGACAAAGACUGACGCUCAGGUGCGAAAGCGUGGGGAGCAAACAGGAUUAGAUACCCGGGUAGUCCCUGUCUCUUAUAC
rnacentral:rRNA from 1 species